AGUUUUGUUGGAGCUUCCUUUGUAUACAAGUGUUAGUCACCCACAUGCAUUUGGGUUUUUACAGUAGCAGUAGCGCAGACCCAUCCACCUCUGUUAUGUGGGGAGGAAACAGGCUGUGUUUUCCAUCAGUGGGCGACGUUAACAGCGGAGGCAGUCGUGAUGGCGUGACCUUGAUCUAUCAUGAUUUAUUCACACUGAUGUCAUUCAAAACCAAUAGGAUUUCACUAAACGAGACCAGUUUGAGCUAAACAUCACCUUUGGUGUCCCACAGAGGAAAGUCAGCCAUGGGUUUGGAACGUCAUGCAGGGACGAGCGCAGGGACGACCGGAAGAUUGUGUCUGCCGAACACAUGACUGCUGCAGGAGCCUCUGAGGAUGAGGAGACACAAAAGA